UACGUAGGGCGCAAGCGUUGUCCGGAAUUAUUGGGCGUAAAGAGCUCGUAGGUGGCUUGUCACGUCGGGUGUGAAAGCUUGGGGCUUAACUCCAGGUCUGCAUUCGAUACGGGCUGGCUAGAGGUAGGUAGGGGAGAACGGAAUUCCUGGUGUAGCGGUGAAAUGCGCAGAUAUCAGGAGGAACACCGGUGGCGAAGGCGGCUUGCUGGGCCAGUUCUGACGCUGAGGAGCGAAAGCGUGGGGAGCGAACAGG
rnacentral:rRNA from 1 species